rnacentral:rRNA from 1 species
AAAUUGAAGAGUUUGAUCAUGGCUCAGAUUGAACGCUGGCGGCAGGCCUAACACAUGCAAGUCGAACGGUAGCACAGAGAGCUUGCUCUCGGGUGACGAGUGGCGGACGGGUGAGUAAUGUCUGGGAAACUGCCUGAUGGAGGGGGAUAACUACUGGAAACGGUGGCUAAUACCGCAUAACGUCGCAAGACCAAAGAGGGGGACCUUCGGGCCUCUUGCCAUCAGAUGUGCCCAGAUGGGAUUAGCUAGUUGGUGAGGUAACGGCUCACCAAGGCGACGAUCCCUAGCUGGUCUGAGAGGAUGACCAGCCACACUGGAACUGAGACACGGUCCAGACUCCUACGGGAGGCAGCAGUGGGGAAUAUUGCACAAUGGGCGCAAGCCUGAUGCAGCCAUGCCGCGUGUAUGAAGAAGGCCUUCGGGUUGUAAAGUACUUUCAGCGGGGAGGAAGGUGUUGUGGUUAAUAACCGCAGCAAUUGACGUUACCCGCAGAAGAAGCACCGGCUAACUCCGUGCCAGCAGCCGCGGUAAUACGGAG